UUACCAUCUUGCAAAGCACUUACCCCGUGGAUGACAAAUGAUAUGGGCAGAUUAUUAUAAUGUGCACAAUGCAUGUAGGAGAACAAGGAGGGUGGGUGUGCUAUAGAUGAAUACAGUCACAGGACAGAGAGAGUGCUGUGCUCACUUUCACUCGACUAACAACUGGCACUGCAAGCAACACCUGAAAGCCCCUUUUUGUGGGUGGCUCAUCGUAGAGGAGAAGUCAGUGAAAGCUACUGGGUGCUCAGCACCUUGGAAAACCAGUCCACUUACAUGCCUACAUGCAGAUUUUGAAGCCCUACUGGAAGCACAGGAUUUUUUUAUUUUGUUUUUCGCUUAAAGAUCAUAUUGUUUGGGGAGGGUUUUUUUAUUUUGUUUUUAAAUUGUGACCUUCUUGCUUUUCUUUUUUAAAAGAUAUUUCCAGAACUCUGCAGAUUCAUGAACCUCAUUUCUCCCUGUGAUCGCCAAACUUUCCGGUGGGCAAUCAGGGGGACAUCUACCAGCAUCCUGGCAGCUUACCACUCCCAUUACCUGACUAACUCCGUGGGGCAGUGCUGAGUGAGCAGAGACUCCUGCCCCUCAGACUGAGCUUUCUUUCUAACACUGCCAAACCCUGGUAGCCUGGAAGAACUGCAAAUAAGAGCAGGAAAGUUCCUAGGCUUUCUACAUAGUGACAGAGAUUACUAAAGACUCUGGGACAUCAAAGUUUGUUUUCUUUUUCUUCUAAGACUUACAGUGGCAUAUAAAUCUGAUAGGAUGCUAAUUUUAAAGAAAGAAAUGGCUAUACAUUGUCUUUUCUCUCUUUCCCGCCCCCCCUCCACCCCCAUCAUUUUGGUUGGUGCACUGCCAACCUGUGUACCAUACAAAAGGGGUCACUUGUAGUAAACCUUUAUUUACAGCUGAUUUUAUUCCUUCCCUGUAGGACUGAAGACUGGUUAGCAAGCUACUGCAUGUUUAAAUGAGGGAUGAGAUCACAGAAUGGGUACAAUGACGGUGGUGAAAUUUUGUUGCUUUCUACCUCUGACUACUUCACCACACCACUCGUUUUUAGAGAAAAUGCCGCAAAAUUGCUUUAGUCAGUCAUUCUUCAUCUUGAUGGCUGGCCUUUAUAAUAGGAUGGAUUUCCACUGCUUUAUCACCUUCCUCCUUAUUUUAAAGCUCUGGGGUUAUUUAUAUUGUACAGCUUAUGUCUAUUUUCAAAUAGUUUUACAAUUCAGCUGUAUGUUGGCAGAGCUAAAUAUGAGCUCUCCUCAUACGAAAACAGAAAUGUAUUUUAUCUAAAGAAUUUAUAUAAUGUCAACAGUCUGUCUCAGUGCAGCCAGAGAGGCUUAAAAAAUGACUAGCAAUCCCUUUUUUCCACCUCAGAGCCCAUGUCUGCGCACUGGAUAAAUCCCAUCAGUGUUUGGGGUAUAUAAUAUCAUUGUUUUAGAAUCAAUGGUGAAUUUAUGUGGUGCUAAUCUCUGUCCUUUGUUCAAACAAACUCAGCAAAUUUCAGCAGCAUAAUGCAUUCAGUGUUUUCAUCGGUGGAUUUACGUAAUGAAUGAGGUGCUCUCUACACCUCAGCCUACCGCAUUACAAGACAGAGAGAGAUAUCGAGAGUGAGGAAGUAGAAACAACAACAGGGCUGGAAUUUUACAGCUGCUGAGUAAUGGUACCUAGCUUUCUUCUUCUGUAGAUCAAAAAGCACUCCACAGAGGAGGGAGAAUGCAAGCUAUGAAGACAGAGAUAAGAUCAAGGCCUAUUCUGACAGAGCUGGAGGAGUGAAGAAGGUAUAAUGAGGAGGCUGCAAUGGACAUGGCAAAGGCAGAGGCAAUAGAGAAGUGUUGCCAGGCAGAAGGGGUUACCUGCGGUAGGUGGGAGAAGUGUGCACUGCUCAAGAGCUCUAUGAAUGCUUCAGGGUGAUUCCAGUCCUGCCAGCUGGUCGAGGCAUCUCAGAUGGUCACUACCUUUAGUACCAGGCAACCCUGAGAGAGUCAGAAGAGCCAGCACUCCAGUACCCAAGCAACAAAUGAGCCUGCAUUCCAGAUUUUAAAAAGCUUUUAGAGGAAAGAAGGGCAGGCUGCUGCAGAGUCAGCAGCAGAACAAAAUCAGAGCGCCCAUACCCCAGCUGCUGUCAUCCAAAGCACUGGCAUGCUGGAAGUCAGCACUACUCACACCACAGGACAGAGAAUAGGAUGUUAAAUUGCUGUUAAACGCCCAGAGAUCAACAGACUGCCUUUCACUGGGUGAUCUUUUUAUCAAGACAAAGGAAAAACAGUAUCUUUCACCUGUCUGGAAUUUAUUAAAGCAUCUACAACGUAACCACAUGGAACAAUGAAGGAACUGACCAGCAGGAAGACAGCAACAGGAAAUGCUGGAAGGGGAAGUAUUGGUGGUGAAGCAGGAUGAUUACCAGAGUGUCUAAAGCAGAGGUGGGCAAAAUUCAGCUUGCAGGCUGCGUCUGGCCUGCAAAGGGAUUUUUGCCCAGCCCACAAUGCGGUGGCCAGACUCUAUUUUCUGGCAGCCCUAGUAGCGGCAACUCCUAUGACUGCCUCUUCUGGACCUGGGCACACUGGGCACACCGCCUCAUAGGUGCUGACUUUUAUUUUUGCCAGGGGGAGGCCUAAAAUGAUGCCCCUUUGCCCCCUUGUGGCAUGGCCGAAGCAGAGCCAAAUGGAGCCUGUGGGGGUUGCAUACAGGCUGGUGCCCACUGCAGGCUUGGGGCUUCCCACCCUGCUGCUCUUCCCCUGGGAGCCCCAUGCUGGCCAUACCACCAUUGUGAGGUGUCCCCUGCCUGCCCAACUGCAGUGGGGGGCACAACUCUGCACCACUGCCCCAUGGCUUCUGGGUGGGCAAGGGGAGCCUUGCCAUGGCAGUGAGGCUGAUGUGGGGCUCCCGGGGGAGGGAAGCAACCCGCAUCUGCCUCUGCCCUAUGCACAAAUCUGUGCCCCCCCCCCACGCAUGUCCUCUUCCCUGGAGUGUGCACAGCAGCAGGUAGCCUCCCCCCACCCUCUGCCCCUUGGAUAAGCCAUCUGUGGCUCUGUCCUAUUCCCCACCCCAGCCCCAAUCCCCAUGUACCGUCCUGGGUGGGCAGCUCCCCCAGGCUCAGCCCCUGUCCCACUCCCUCCCUUACCAUGGGGGCCUCAAUCUGCCCUCUCCCAUAGAUUUACCUGCAGACAGCUGGGGGAGCUGAGGCUCUCCACCACUGCCUGGGGCCGUAUUCCUGGCCCCAUGCAGCGUGGAGCCAGGGCCCAGGGAAGAGCUGCAAUCUGCUACCCACACACCCCUAUGACAAGCACUGGUUCUGUAGUCAGGGACAUGCAAGGAACAGAUCGCGCCUCUGACCCCGACCUCAGGCUGUCACUGUCCCAAAAUCCAGGCCCCACCCGCCCACGCACCCCGCCUGAGCAACUUCCAGCUGUCCUCCAUGGCCAUCCACCUUUAGUCACAUGAGCAGACUGCAGACUUUAGUUUGGGAAUAUUUUGUUAUCACCUCUGCUGCUUUUGUAUCAUACAUUUAAAAAAAUAAAUAACUGUAAAUAAGUUAGUAGAGGACUACAAAAAUACACCCACAGAAAAGAAGUCAUAACCCAUGAAAACUUUCUUUUUGGAAUCCAGAAUGGAUGACUACUCUUAAAAAUGUAUCCUUUUAUUUCAUUAAUUGCACAAGCAUCCAUUUUCUGCUUGUGUGUGUAGUAAAAAGACGUUAGCCCCCAUAAUUUUGCAGUAAUGCUUGAGCAACAACCAUAUGAUAGAAGUGUCUUAUGACCAUCUUAUGACCCUUUUGUGUAAAGAUCAGGAGGUCUAAUGUCCAAGCUGUGGUUCUUACUGCUUGCCUUGCAUUUUGAAAUCAUCUCUGUCCAGUGCCUUAAGGUUACGUUAAGAUAAGAAGUUACUAAAGUUUAACUAACUUUGUUGAAAUUGCUCUUUUCUUCUGAGCAUGCUGCAAUUCUACCUUUGAGUGCGCACGUACUAACCCUGAUAAGUCACAUUAACCAAUAACUAGUUAAGUACAGCCUACAAGAUAAGACGUCACAAUUAGGAACUGGUACUGCAGCCAAUAAACUUCUAGUACGUCAAGACUCUGUUGAAUGUAAGCUAUAAAAAUGUGAUUCCAGCCGGACUCAUCGUCGGCCCUGAUUUGAGCUCUCUGCUCCUCGGUCGAACUGUUUGCAAACAAUAAACCUAGAUGGACCCAG